rnacentral:rRNA from 1 species
UACGUAGGGUCCGAGCGUUGUCCGGAAUUACUGGGCGUAAAGGGCGCGCAGGCGGCCGCUCAAGUCAGAUGUGAAAGCCCCGGGCUCAACCUGGGAACUGCAUUUGAUACUGAGUGGUUAGAGUUCGGGAGAGGAGAGUGGAAUUCCCAGUGUAGAGGUGAAAUUCGUAGAUAUUGGGAAGAACACCGGUGGCGAAGGCGGCUCUCUGGACCGAUACUGACGCUGAGGCGCGAAAGCGUGGGGAGCAAACAGGG